GAAAAAUUCAAAACAAUUAUAUAUUCAAAAUGAAUGUAAAUUGAGAGGGGGAAUAAUCAAUAAUGAUGAUAAUUAAUUGAUAAUCCCCUCUACCCUCAACCCUAAUUCCCUUUCUCCUUUGGCAAUAAGGAUUUUUGAUUUGUUCUCCUCUCUCAAUUUUUGUUUAUUUUUUUCAAUUUUUUUCUCGUAAAUCGAUUAUGCAAAGAAGAAAUGUUUUUGCUUCGUUCUUUUCCCUCGAUUCCUCCCGUUUCUCUCCUAACCUAAACCCCAACUCACUACCCCCAGGUUGUGUGUAUUUCGGUUCGUCUCCAUAUUUUGGCCCUUUGUUUUUUUGGCUAUUCCCUUUU
rnacentral:lncRNA from 1 species